UACAGAGACUGCAAGCGUUAUUCGGAUUCACUGGGCGUAAAGGGUGCGCAGGCGGCCGUGUGUGUGAGGCGUGAAAGCCUGGAGCUUAACUCCAGAAUCGCACCUCAAACUACACGGCUAGAGCAUUGGAGAGGGUAGCAGAAUUCACGGUGUAGCAGUGAAAUGCGUAGAUAUCGUGAGGAAUACCAGAGGCGAAGGCGGCUACCUGGACAAUUGCUGACGCUCAGGCACGAAAGCGUGGGGAGCAAAAGGG
rnacentral:rRNA from 1 species